rnacentral:rRNA from 1 species
CCUACGGGGGGCAGCAGUGGGGGAUAUUGGGCAAUGGGCGCAAGCCUGACCCAGCAACGCCGCGUGAGUGAAGAAGUCUUUCGGUAUGUAAACCUCUUUUCUGAGGGACGAAAGAAGUGACGGUACCUGACGAAUAAGCCACGGCUAACUACGUGCCAGCAGCCGCGGUAAUACGUAGGUGGCAAGCGUUAUCCGGAUUUACUGGGUGUAAAGGGCGUGUAGGCGGUAAAGCAAGUCAGGAGUGAAAAGUCGGGGCUCAACCCCGAGACUGCACUGGAAACUGUUUUUCUUGAGUGCUGGAGAGGCAAGCGGAAUUCCGAGUGUAGCGGUGAAAUGCGUAGAUAUUAGGAGGAACACCAGUGGCGAAGGCGGAUUGCUGGACAGUAACUGACGUUGAGGCGCGAAAGCGUGGGGAGCAAACAGGAUUAGAUACCCGGGUAGUC